UCUAUUUUGCUUGCAUAUUUCGAAGGGUGAACAUAUGUUUGAUGGUCAAUAAAUUUAAUAGAAUUAUUUUAUUAUCAAAAAAAUAUUGUCUUGUCGACAUAACUUAAAAUAUGUUUGGACUUUUAUUCCAGUGGAUUGAUUAAUUCAACUCUCUCCUUCCAAUAAAAAUAUUGUCUUGUCGACAUAACUUAAAACAUAUAUGCACUUUUAUUAGAGUGAAUUGAUUAAUUCAUCUUUCUCAUAAAAAUAUGUGACUUAUUCCUAUUUAUAAAAAUAAUUGUAUCAAUAAUAAAUUUUUUCCCAUUUAUAAAAAUAUUUAUCUUAUAGUCAUUUAUAAAAAUAGAAGUUAAAACAAUAAAUUAAUAGCCAAUAAUAAUAAUAUAAUAUAUAGUAGUAUAAAACAACAUGAAUACAAAUGAAAUUCGUAAAGACAUUUAAGAUUUAUAACGUAUAUAAUUUAAUUUACACAAGUAUUCAUACUGUUUUAUACUACUAUUCAUGCGGCGGAGAAUGAGCCGGCACGACGAAUUUCUUAGACCGACGACAAAAGGAGAAAAGACCAUCGCUUUUCUUACCCAUAUUUAAUCCAGAAAUUAAUAUAAUAUAAUACAUUAAUAGUUAAUAAUAAUAUAAUAAUAAUGGUUGAACAUUGAAAAUGCGAUGAGAAAGAAAGAAAGGAAGAAGAGAGUGAUAGUGAUGUUGGUGUUUUUCUGUUUCUUGCGCUUAUAUCAAGAGAUUCAAAUGAAGAGGGGAAAAAAUGGCAUCAAGAUAGCACACACUUAAGAAUCCACUUCAGAAAAGAAAGUGUUUUUCGCAAUUGAUGAAGAGGAAAAAAGAAAUUCGAAAGAAUUUACCUUUUGGAGGAUUUGAAAACUUAACCGAUGUUGUGGAAAAUGAAAAGACAUGACAUUGUGAAGAACUAUUUUUGUUCUACAGCAGUGGAAUGUAGAAAAUCUGCAUGAAGAAUCAUGUAGGAGGGAAAUUGAAAAAUCUAAAAAUAAUAAUGUGACUCUUGGAUAUUUGAAAAUUUUAUUUAUAAAUUUAACUAAUGAUAGCAAUGAUUAAUGAAAUGAAAAUUAUCAAUUAAGACAUGAAAUUAGUCCUUUAAUUAGUUUUUAG
rnacentral:lncRNA from 1 species